rnacentral:rRNA from 1 species
UACGAAUGGGGCAAGCGUUGUUCGGAAUCACUGGGCUUAAAGCGUGCGCAGGCGGUCAUGAAAGUCAGAAGUGAAAUCCCAGGGCUUAACCCUGGAAUUGCUUUUGAAACUCCAUGACUAGAAUACUGGAGAGGUUAGCAGAAUUCCGAGUGUAGAGGUGAAAUUCGCAGAUAUUCGGAGGAAUACCAAUGGCGAAGGCAGCUAACUGGACAGUCAUUGACGCUCAGGCACGAAAGCGUGGGUAGCAAACAGG